GACCAUUUCAUUUUGCCCAGCAAUAGCCUAGAAUCUGGCACCUGUAGGACUAAAGACCGGGAAUAGCCUGGAAGAAGUGGGUGGGGAGCGCCAGGCAGGGCAGACCAGAUCGCAAAGGAAAAAACCCUGACGUGCAAGCACCGAUAGGAGAGGAAAUGUUUGCUCAGCUGUAAAGGAGGGAGAGAAAAGGGAGAAAGCACAGGCGGCGUGGCAGGU
rnacentral:lncRNA from 1 species